GACGAACGCUGGUUGGCGUGCUUAACACAUGCAAGUCGAACGGAAAGGCCCUGCUUUUGUGGGGUGCUCGAGUGGCGAACGGGUGAGCAACACGUGAGUAACCUGCCCUUGACUUUGGGAUAACUUCAGGAAACUGGGGCUAAUACCGGAUAGGAGCUCCUGCUGCAUGGUGGGGGUUGGAAAGUUUCGGCGGUUGGGGAUGGACUCGCGGCUUAUCAGCUUGUUGGUGGGGUAGUGGCUUACCAAGGCUUUGACGGGUAGCCGGCCUGAGAGGGUGACCGGCCACAUUGGGACUGAGAUACGGCCCAGACUCCUACGGGAGGCAGCAGUGGGGAAUAUUGCACAAUGGGCGGAAGCCUGAUGCAGCAACGCCGCGUGCGGGAUGACGGCCUUCGGGUUGUAAACCGCUUUCGCCUGUGACGAAGCGUGAGUGACGGUAAUGGGUAAAGAAGCACCGGCUAACUACGUGCCAGCAGCCGCGGUGAUAAGUAGGGUGCGAGCGUUGUCCGGAUUUAUUGGGCGUAAAGGGCUCGUAGGUGGUUGAUCGCGUCGGAAGUGUAAUCUUGGGGCUUAACCCUGAGCGUGCUUUCGAUACGGGUUGACUUGAGGAAGGUAGGGGAGAAUGGAAUUCCUGGUGGAGCGGUGGAAUGCGCAGAUAUCAGGAGGAACACCAGUGGCGAAGGCGGUUCUCUGGGCCUUUCCUGACGCUGAGGAGCGAAAGCGUGGGGAGCGAACAGGCUUAGAUACCCUGGUAGUCCACGCUGUAAACGGUGGGUACUAGGUGUGGGGUCCAUUCCACGGGUUCCGUGCCGUAGCUAACGCUUUAAGUACCCCGCCUGGGGAGUACGGCCGCAAGGCUAAAACUCAAAGGAAUUGACGGGGCCCCGCACAAGCGGCGGAGCAUGCGGAUUAAUUCGAUGCAACGCGUAGAACCUUACCUGGGUUUGACAUGGAUCGGGAGUGCUCAGAGAUGGGUGUGCCUCUUUUGGGGUCGGUUCACAGGUGGUGCAUGGCUGUCGUCAGCUCGUGUCGUGAGAUGUUGGGUUAAGUCCCGCAACGAGCGCAACCCUUGUUCACUGUUGCCAGCACGUUAUGGUGGGGACUCAGUGGAGACCGCCGGGGUCAACUCGGAGGAAGGUGGGGAUGACGUCAAGUCAUCAUGCCCCUUAUGUCCAGGGCUUCACGCAUGCUACAAUGGCUGGUACAGAGAGUGGCGAGCCUGUGAGGGUGAGCGAAUCUCGGAAAGCCGGUCUCAGUUCGGAUUGGGGUCUGCAACUCGACCUCAUGAAGUCGGAGUCGCUAGUAAUCGCAGAUCAGCAACGCUGCGGUGAAUACGUUCCCGGG
rnacentral:rRNA from 1 species